rnacentral:lncRNA from 1 species
CAGAUCCUGAAACUUUCCUGGGGAAGGUCAGCCUCAGAUACUGACAAGACACCAAAAGACUGCAGCUGCUUACUAUGGAAAGAGCAUGACCCUAUGAAGAAAGGAAAUGAAAGAGAAAAAGUCAUAAGAUCAGCAAGAAGAGAAACUGUAGAUUUGCCUCAACUCAACAUGUUAAGUAAUCACCUGACAUCUACAUAAGACC